rnacentral:rRNA from 1 species
GAUAAACGCUGGCGGCGUGCCUAAUACAUGCAAGUCGAGCGAACGGACGAGAAGCUUGCUUCUCUGAUGUUAGCGGCGGACGGGUGAGUAACACGUGGAUAACCUACCUAUAAGACUGGGAUAACUUCGGGAAACCGGAGCUAAUACCGGAUAAUAUUUUGAACCGCAUGGUUCAAAAGUGAAAGACGGUCUUGCUGUCACUUAUAGAUGGAUCCGCGCUGCAUUAGCUAGUUGGUAAGGUAACGGCUUACCAAGGCAACGAUGCAUAGCCGACCUGAGAGGGUGAUCGGCCACACUGGAACUGAGACACGGUCCAGACUCCUACGGGAGGCAGCAGUAGGGAAUCUUCCGCAAUGGGCGAAAGCCUGACGGAGCAACGCCGCGUGAGUGAUGAAGGUCUUCGGAUCGUAAAACUCUGUUAUUAGGGAAGAACAUAUGUGUAAGUAACUGUGCACAUCUUGACGGUACCUAAUCAGAAAGCCACGGCUAACUACGUGUCAGCAGCCGCGGUAAUACGUAGGUGGCAAGCGUUAUCCGGAAUUAUUGGGCGUAAAGCGCGCGUAGGCGGUUUUUUAAGUCUGAUGUGAAAGCCCACGGCUCAACCGUGGAGGGUCAUUGGAAACUGGAAAACUUGAGUGCAGAAGAGGAAAGUGGAAUUCCAUGUGUAGCGGUGAAAUGCGCAGAGAUAUGGAGGAACACCAGUGGCGAAGGCGACUUUCUGGUCUGUAACUGACGCUGAUGUGCGAAAGCGUGGGGAUCAAACAGGAUUAGAUACCCUGGUAGUCCACGCCGUAAACGAUGAGUGCUAAGUGUUAGGGGGUUUCCGCCCCUUAGUGCUGCAGCUAACGCAUUAAGCACUCCGCCUGGGGAGUACGACCGCAAGGUUGAAACUCAAAGGAAUUGACGGGGACCCGCACAAGCGGUGGAGCAUGUGGUUUAAUUCGAAGCAACGCGAAGAACCUUACCAAAUCUUGACAUCCUUUGACAACUCUAGAGAUAGAGCCUUCCCCUUCGGGGGACAAAGUGACAGGUGGUGCAUGGUUGUCGUCAGCUCGUGUCGUGAGAUGUUGGGUUAAGUCCCGCAACGAGCGCAACCCUUAAGCUUAGUUGCCAUCAUUAAGUUGGGCACUCUAAGUUGACUGCCGGUGACAAACCGGAGGAAGGUGGGGAUGACGUCAAAUCAUCAUGCCCCUUAUGAUUUGGGCUACACACGUGCUACAAUGGACAAUACAAAGGGCAGCGAAACCGCGAGGUCAAGCAAAUCCCAUAAAGUUGUUCUCAGUUCGGAUUGUAGUCUGCAACUCGACUACAUGAAGCUGGAAUCGCUAGUAAUCGUAGAUCAGCAUGCUACGGUGAAUACGUUCCCGGGUCU